UACGGAGGGUGCAAGCGUUAUCCGGAUUUAUUGGGUUUAAAGGGUCCGUAGGCGGAUCUGUAAGUCAGUGGUGAAAUCUCACAGCUUAACUGUGAAACUGCCAUUGAUACUGCAGGUCUUGAGUAAGGUGGAAGUGGCUGGAAUAAGUAGUGUAGCGGUGAAAUGCAUAGAUAUUACUUAGAACACCAAUUGCGAAGGCAGGUCACUAUGUCUUAACUGACGCUGAUGGACGAAAGCGUGGGGAGCGAACAGG
rnacentral:rRNA from 1 species